rnacentral:rRNA from 1 species
UUGACCUCGGAUCAGGUAGGGAUACCCGCUGAACUUAAGCAUAUCAAUAAGCGGAGGAAAAGAAACCAACUGGGAUUGCCUUAGUAACGGCGAGUGAAGCGGCAAUAGCUCAAAUUUGAAAGCUGGCGCCUUCGGCGUCCGCGUUGUAAUUUGUAGAGGAUGCUUCGGCGAGGACUCCUGCCUAAGUUCCCUGGAAUGGGACGUCACAGAGGGUGAGAAUCCCGUACGUGGCGGGCGGUCCAAGCCAUGUGAAGCUCCUUCGACGAGUCGAGUUGUUUGGGAAUGCAGCUCUAAAUGGGAGGUAAAUUUCUUCUAAAGCUAAAUACCGGCCAGAGACCGAUAGCGCACAAGUAGAGUGAUCGAAAGAUGAAAAGCACUUUGGAAAGAGAGUUAAAAAGUACGUGAAAUUGUUGAAAGGGAAGCGCUUGCAACCAGACUCGCUCGCAGUUGCUCAGCCCGCCUCUUGGUGGGUGUACUCUUCUGCGAUCGGGCCAGCAUCAGUUCGGGCGGCUGGAUAAAGGUGUCGGGAAUGUAGCACCCUUCGGGGUGUGUUAUAGCCCGGCGCGGAAUGCAGCCAGCCUGGACUGAGGAUCUCGCUUCGGCAAGGAUGCUGGCGUAAUGGUUGUAAGCGGCCCGUCU